UGACAGCAUGAAAGACAGAAAGCCUUGACCAGCAGGAGGAUGGGGGAGUCCAACUGAAGAUUUGGAUGAAAACCUCUGGUAAAAUGGCAGCUUUUGCAAAGUUCAGUGUGGGCAGUGUGGUGCUUUUCAUGCGUGUUGGGUGCCUGACCAGUGUUUAUCCUGCACAGACUCCAAGGGAGAGGGACACCACUGGAAGGGCACAAGGACACCUCAUCCAAAGCCCAGGAUCCACUUUCCUGCUGCAUUCAGAAGGUGCUGCUGGGGGAAUUGCACUGAUUCUAACAGCUCCAAAGGUCAAGAUUUAUUUUUAAUAUUUUUUUCCCAGACUUCUUAAAUCUACUGAUCAAUUUUCCAUAUUUGUAGUGAUAGUAACGUUUGAGUGGCAGCAGAUACCUAAUUUAUACCUAAAUUUGAUUUAGGUUUGAUUUGCCAUUUCAUAGCAAGACUCUUAAAAGGGAGGGGAGUGAUAUUAAUAUUUCACAUGGUUGGGAGAGGAAAUGCCUGGCAAUCCCAGGGGAAGAGUCACAGCACCUGUGCUGAACUCACCCAGAUUUUUGGCAGGAAUGAUCUAAUUGCUCAUUGUGAGUGGAACAGAAAACAAUUCUGACACAAAGCAAGAGAAGGUUUCAAUGAGCUGGAGAAAGUAACAGAAAUAGGUUGUGUGUUAAAAGAAAUAUCAGGGGGUAGAGGAUGAAUACCAAAAAUCUAACCAAAUUAAUUCUUCCUUCUUUUAUUUUUGCUGUGUUUCCAUCUUUCCAGUUGCUGUGUUUCCUUUCCAAAGCAAGGAUGGGGCAGGAGUUUAGGAGAGUCUUGUUCAGGUGAGUCUUGCUGAUAAAGCAACUUGGGUUUCUGUGAUCAAUCUGCUUAAUUAACUAAAAAUGCAGAACUGAAGA
rnacentral:lncRNA from 1 species